GAUUCCGGUGCAGCGCUCUAACCAACUGAGCUCCAGAGUCCAGUUGUCAAGCUCCAACCACAAGUUCUUGUUUAUACUGUAUAUAGUGGGUGAUGCCAGUAUACGGUAUAGACCUUGUAUAGACCCAUUGCACAUGUCACAACGCCGGUGACGAUGCAUCUGGAGGACAAAUUAGCAAUCUAUGCAUAAUAUAACUUUUGUAAACAAAGCUAAUUUUGUAAAAGUUUAUAAUAAUUUUGUAUUAAAAUGGUUAAUUUUUGCGCUGUAUGCGGUUGUUGUACCCGAAUAGAUAUUGUUAGGGAGCAUCUGGAGGACACUUUAAGGAUUGGUGACGUCAGUGCAAAGGGUCUAUAGGUAAAUAUCGAGAUUUUGGGCAUCUCGCGCGAUAAAACUGACAGUUGAAGGGUUUUUGCAGUUGGAAAUUACAUACAACCUUCCGUUCGUAAUUUCUAUCUACAAAAAUAGUCCGGCAGAUAGAGCAAAAAUACUUACGGUUGUUUGGGACAAUUCCGUUUUGCCACAUAAUUGUAUUUUAGUAUGUGAUAAGCACGUUUUUGGAUGUUGGACACGUUGAAAUUACUUGAGUGAGCUAUCCAACAACUAUUUCUUUUGUCGCUCGAAACUUUUUUUCCGCCAUGUUUUUAUUGCAAAAUUCUCGAAAAAGAGUGAGCCCACAAUACUUUGGUCAGCACCAACCCCAGAACUUCGUUUAAGCUAAAUCAAAGAAUACUUAUUAUUCUUUAAUACUUCAAAUCAAAGAAUAC